UACGAAGGGUGCAAGCGUUAUUCGGAAUCAUUGGGCGUAAAGCGCGCGCAGGCGGAUUGAUAAGUCAGGUGUGAAAUCUCGAAGCUCAACUUCGAAACUGCGCCUGAAACUAUUAGUCUAGAAUGUCGGAGGGGGCAGGGGAAUUUCACGUGUAGGGGUAAAAUCCGUAGAGAUGUGAAGGAACACCGGGGGCGAAGGCGCCUGCCUGGACGACUAUUGACGCUGAGGCGCGAAAGCGUGGGGAGCAAACAGG
rnacentral:rRNA from 1 species